GUGGCGGAGGUGUGCAACUGCACAGGAAGGAUUCACUGUAUGAAUGGAGUGCUGGAUGUCCAGGCGGAAGGCUUUUUACGUGUUUUCGUACUCAACGGGGUGAAACGUUCAAUCUGGUUUGGAUAUAACUGUUACUCUGAAGGAAAACUUCCGUGUUGUGGGGUAAAAACCCGGCGUGGUUAUAGUUCUGAAACCAUGAUAAAAUGAAGCGAUGUGGAGAUGCUACAGCUGUGCACUGCAAGCUAACAGAUGCUAACGUUAACGGCUAGCCGGAACUGUUACUUUAAAAAAAAAAUGACAGCUACGAGGGAAAAGAUGCUUAAAAGAGGAGCAAGGUGUAACACAAGUUUAAAAUGUACAUGGGGUCAGUGAGGAUGGUCACAGCUGGCUGAGGUUCACCCACUGACCCAGCAGGUACGAUCCAGGUUGAAAAGAAGCUGGAGCCAUGAAAGGGGAGGGAAGGGCAGAGUGUGGAGGAGAGGUUUUGGCUGAGGACCUGGACUUCCCCUCUGACGACAAGUCCCUGUUCUCUGACAGCACCACGCCAAUUUCCAGGCUGCAGGGUAACAUUACAUGGCGGCGCCCGCAGGAGAUCUGCCAGUCACCAGUUCUCUUCCCUGACAACAUCAACUUGGGUCAUGCUAAACAAGGCUUAUUAGGAGAUUGCUGGUUUCUCUGUGCCUGCACCAUCCUGCUCAAGAACAAGCAUCUACUUAACAAGGUGUUGCCCCCAGACCAGCCCCAGUGGGGUGACAGCAAGUACAGGGGCUUCUUCCAGUUUCGUUUCUGGCAGCAGGGACACUGGACAGAGGUGACCAUCGAUGACCGCCUGCCCUGUAUUAAUACCACUCUCUGCUUCUCACGUUGCCACUGCCCCACUGCCUUUUGGGUAGCCCUCUUGGAGAAGGCCUAUGCCAAGCUUCAUGGCUCAUAUGAGCGACUGUGGGCAGGGCAAGUGUCAGAGGCCCUGGUGGAUUUGACUGGUGGCCUAGCGGAACACUGGAGCUUGGGAGACCUCGGGUCAGAGGAGGAGCAGAGACCAGAACAGGACAGCGACCAGGUCAGGAGGAGAAGGCUGGACCUGAACCUUCUGUACCCAGUGAGGGAUGACUGUGCACUGAGCUGCUCCACUCAGAGCAGCCCUGGAGGUGCCAGUGAGCUGGGUCAGUACCAUGCUCUGACUGUCCUGGAGUGGUUGGAUGUGAAGACGUCAUCAGGGAGCAAAGUACGGCUACUCAGGAUCAGAAAUCCCUGGGGAAGAUGCUGCUUUGGAGGGGCAUGGAUAGGGAGUGGUGCAGGUUGGAGCUCUGUCGACCCUGUCUGUGCUUCAGAGCUACAAGCCAGGGUGGCUGAGGGCGAGUUCUGGUUGGAUGAGGCUGAAUUCAUGACCCAGUUUGAUGAUGUCACAGUGGGAUACCCCAUUACUAAGGAGGGACACCUGAAGAGCAUCUAUACUGGAUGUCUGCUAAAACACUUUCAUCAGCUGCCUGGCCGGUGGGUAAAAGGGCAUUCAGCUGGCGGUAGCCGAAACAGCAGCAGCUAUGGUACCAACCCCAAAUUUUGGCUCAAAGUGAGUGAGAGAGGAGAGGUUCUGGUAUCCCUGCUGCAGCAUAGGAAGUGGAGAAAAAUGGAUAAAUACGCACAAAAGCCACCUGAGGACAGCAAGAACACAAAGCACCAGCACUACCAGGCUACUGCUCUACACAUGUGGAAGGUGGAGAAGAAGCGUUUUAAUCUGAGCCGGAUGUUGAACAAACCUCCUUGUGCUUCUACUCACUGCCACGCCUACGAGAGAGAGGUGGUCCUCCAGGGGCAGCUGGAGCCGGGAUACUACCUGCUGAUCCCCAGCACCUACCAGCCUGGAGCAGAGGCCCGAUUUCUCAUCAGGGUCUUUUCUUCAUCUUCCAUAUCCCUUAGUGCCCUGAAAAGCCCAGCACCUUCACUACCAUUAACAACCGAUGGUGAGUGGGAGACCAGUUACUUCCGGGGCUCUUGGGUGGAGGGAAGAACAGCAGGAGGAAGCAGGAAUUUCCUGUCUCACUGGCAGAACCCCUGCUUCCCUUUUACAGUGUGUGAUGACCCAGCAGUGACAUCAGGAGUUAACAUCAGGAUUACCCUGCACCAGAGCCGCCCUGACACUGAUCUGCACCCUAUUGGCUUCCACAUUUACAAGGUCUCAGAAGGGGCAUCUGUGCAGAUGAUCCCCAGGGAUGAGGAUCCCGUGGCCAGUUGCGUCCCCCACUGUUACACUCAGGAUGUCAGUCUGGACUGCAGUCUUCUUCCUGGAACUUACACCAUAUUAACGUCCACUUAUGAGCCUGACUGCCCGGCAGACUUCACCCUCAGCCUGGCUCGCAGAAUACACAGGAAGGUGGUGAAGAGUCAAGAGAGACUGGGGAGAGCCAUUCAGGAGACUAGGUCCAGAGCUCUGCUUGGACCUGAGCACAGCCGCCGUUUGAAGCGACCGCAAGAACAGAUGACAAGCGGACGGAUUGAAGGGAUGAAAUGAGGGAUGCGGCACAUCAGAGGAAGCCGGUUCAUGUGAAGAAGCCGCCAGUCCUUUUUCUGUUGGGGCUGCGCAUGUGUGUGAGUGUGACUGAGCACGUUUGGUCAAGAACGGAAGAAAGCUGUGUCA